GGUCAAGUGAAGAAGCGCAUACGGUGGAUGCCUUGGCAGUCAGAGGCGAUGAAAGACGUGGUAGCCUGCGAAAAGCUUCGGGGAGUCGGCAAACAGACUUUGAUCCGGAGAUCUCUGAAUGGGGGAACCCACCUAGGAUAACCUAGGUAUCUUGUACUGAAUCCAUAGGUGCAAGAGGCGAACCAGGGGAACUGAAACAUCUAAGUACCCUGAGGAAAAGAAAUCAACCGAGAUUCCCUUAGUAGUGGCGAGCGAACGGGGAUUAGCCCUUAAGCUUCAUUGAUUUUAGCGGAACGCUCUGGAAAGUGCGGCCAUAGUGGGUGAUAGCCCCGUACGCGAAAGGAUCUUUGAAGUGAAAUCGAGUAGGACGGAGCACGAGAAACUUUGUCUGAACAUGGGGGGACCAUCCUCCAAGGCUAAAUACUACUGACUGACCGAUAGUGAACCAGUACCGUGAGGGAAAGGCGAAAAGAACCCCGGAGAGGGGAGUGAAAUAGAACCUGAAACCGUAUGCGUACAAGCAGUGGGAGCCUACUUGUUAGGUGACUGCGUACCUUUUGUAUAAUGGGUCAGCGACUUAUAUUCAGUGGCAAGCUUAACCGUAUAGGGUAGGCGUAGCGAAAGCGAGUCUUAAUAGGGCGUUUAGUCGCUGGGUAUAGACCCGAAACCGGGCGAUCUAUCCAUGAGCAGGUUGAAGGUUAGGUAACACUGACUGGAGGACCGAACCCACUCCCGUUGAAAAGGUAGGGGAUGACUUGUGGAUCGG
rnacentral:rRNA from 1 species